rnacentral:rRNA from 1 species
GAUGAACGCUGGCGGCGUGCCUAAUACAUGCAAGUCGAGCGAACGGACGAGAAGCUUGCUUCUCUGAUGUUAGCGGCGGACGGGUGAGUAACACGUGGAUAACCUACCUAUAAGACUGGGAUAACUUCGGGAAACCGGAGCUAAUACCGGAUAAUAUUUUGAACCGCAUGGUUCAAAAGUGAAAGACGGUCUUUCUGUCACUUAUAGAUUGAUCCGCGCUGCAUUAGCUAGUUGGUAAGGUAACGGCUUACCAAGGCAACGAUGCAUAGCCGACCUGAGAGGGGGAUCGGCCACACGGGAAGUGAGACACGGUACAGACAACUACGGGAGGAAGCAGUAGGGAAUCUUCCGCAAUGGGCGAAAGCCUGACGGAGCAACGCCGCGUGAGUGAUGAAGGUCUUCGGAUCGUAAAACUCUGUUAUUAGGGAAGAACAUAUGUGUAAGUAACUGUGCACAUCUUGACGGUACCUAAUCAGAAAGCAACGGCUAACUACGUG